rnacentral:rRNA from 1 species
UACGGAGGGGAGCUAGCGUUGUUCGGAAUUGACUAGGGCGUAAAGCGCACGUAGGCGGCUUUGUAAGUUAGAAGGUGAAAGCCCGGGCUCAACCCCGGAAUUGCCCUUUAAGACUGCAUCGCUUGAAUCCGGGAGAGGUGAGUGGAAUUCCGGAGUGAUAGAGGUGAAAUUCGUGAAGAUAUUCGGAAGAACACCAGUGGCGAAGGCGGCUCACUGGACCGGUAUUGACGCUGAGGCGACGAAAGGCGUGGGGAGCAAACAGG